UUUGGAAUACUAUUUUCAACAUACUACGAUUUGGGCCAUACUAAUCUACUUUUGAAUACUAUUAAGACAGAUAGUAUGCUGAUUGCUACGCAGGGUCCGUUUUUUUAUGGAUGUCAAUGUAAGAGAAGCUUCAGUACACUGAAUAAAUCGCUUUUGUGAGGUAACAGCUAUUCGCUUAAGGAAUCGAAUGCCUGUCAAUUAAUGUUCGACAUGUUUUACACCAAACAUCAAUUUCUUUGGGAACGUGUGUAUUGACAAUAUGAACAAAGAAACCACGCAAACUGCAACGUAAACUGUUACACAGACUGCCGAUGUCAUGAGGCGCGCAGCAGCGCAUAGCGGGCACGCGCACGCGCAGCACACUGAGCACAGCUGAAUGCAGCACGUUUGGCACAUCAGGCAGAGAGCCGCAGAAGUGAAGCCCUCCCUCCUUUCCAGUAGCGUUUGUCUUGGCGUGGAGGGUCCCAGAGUCUGGAGGAAGAGAGGACAGGCACAGAAUCCACGUUGCUUGAGGUCCAGUGUAAAGUUUCCACGGUCAGUGAUGGUUUGGGGUGUCAUGUCAUCUGCUGGUGUUGGUCCACUGUGUUUUCUGAGGUCCAAGGUAAACGCAUCCUUAUACCAGGAAGUUUUAGAGCACUUCAUGCUUCCUGCUGCUGACCAACUUUAUGGAGAUGCAGAUAUCAUUUUCCAACAGGACUUUGCACCUGCUGUUGUGGCGAAAAGUCGGUCAGCCAAUGUUGAAAGAAUUCACAAAGACCAGAGAGCCAGGUUCCCAGAGGUUUCAAUCUUUAUUUGCUCGAGCAAGCAAAGUGAGACACACAGAGUUCAUCUGUAGAUGCCCAAGAAUUACACUUCUGACUCCAUCUUUUAUACACUGUUCUCAAGUCGUUAUCACAGUUUAAACCAAUCAUAUUUACCUGACCUCAUCUUCUCCCAAUCAGGUUCUACAUGACAUCACUUAUUUUUGUUUGCCCAUCCUCUUUUGACUUGCCACAGUUAUAUAUCAAACUUCUUACGUUAACUUUUAACUGUGGCGCAACCUUUUAAAGGAUUAAAAAAUAUAUAUACAUACAUCCAUCUUUAAAAUGUAGAUGUAUGUUAUUUUGUCAGUUGUUACUGUAUGACAGACAAACACAUCCAUCUCUGAAAUGCGAAUGCGUAUAUAUAUUUACAUUUACUACCCCUAGUUCUCGUGUGAAUAGUACAUAUUGUGUGUGUGCUCCAAGCGUUUGCGUGCAAAGGAUGUCUUAUGGUGCUGUAUAUAAUGUGUCUUAUGGUGCUGUUUACUGUUCAACCUGGUCUGUUUACUCUUGAGACUCGUAGCCUUUUCUGUGUUUAGAGAAGUGUGUGAAACCUAUAGCUAUAGCUAGUUUAAAUGCAUUGUUUCAUAUAAAAGCUCACUUAAUAAUAUAAAAACUUAAUACACUUAAUACAAUAAUAUAAAACUUAUAAAAACGUAAUACUGUGGUAGAAAAACCACCAUAUAAUCCCCCCUUUGAGGCUGAAAAGCCUCACACUCCAAUCAGAUGUAAUCCUUAACCAAGGGAGUAACAUAAAAUGUAAUAUCAAAUAAUAGAUAAAAGUGCUCAAAAGUGUUUUCUUAAAAAUUAAAAUUAAAUUGCGUGUACAUUUAGUGAAUGUUAUAAUAAGUCUUAGGUUAUUAUUAGCAAGCAAUAUUUUUAAAAAAAUCCUUCCGCCAUUCUGUAAAUACCUCAUACCAUGAGUAUUUCUGUUUUUAAACCCUCUAAACUUAAUAUAAUUUUUGACCCUUAGUAAAUAUUAAUCAUAUGAGUGAGUAUUAUCCAUGCUAUGUUGUGAUAUAGCAUAAACAAUCAUCUGGCUCGGAACAGCGGCUGCAGCUGUUCGCUGAAAUGACUUCAUUAUACAUGGCCAAAUGCAUAAUGUCAAUAAAAGAAAUGCAAUAAUGCAAACCACAAGUAACAUUACAUUUUUCAUAUAGGUAAAAACACCCUUGAUCCAGUUCCAGUUAAAAGUAUCUGAGGUAACCUCAGAUUUGGUCAAAGUCUCAACCAUCAAUGAAAUGUUUUUCAUCCCUUCAUCGAUGAGAUGUCCAUCUGCGUCGUUCUCUGGAGUAUAGGUGCAACAAGUUUCCCCAAUGACAGCACAAACUCCUCCUUUUGCAGCUGUCAACUGGUCCAAGACCAAGCGGUUUUGCAACACAGUCAAUCUUAGUCCACGUAGCUCCUCCUUGAUGCCUUUCAUGACAAUGUUCGUGGUAUUCAUAAACGAUGUAAGUUCAAAUCUGGUGAUCUCAACUUCAUUCAUCAAAGAACUGACUCCCAACAUAGGAUUAAAGCAGCUGAUACUUUCUCCGCCAGUGUCCAUAAACGAUGAUUCUUUGGGACUGAUUUGUCAGAUAGGAAGUCUAAUAGUCCUCUCUGUGUCCUCUGCUUUCGUGACAUCACUUCAUGUGGUAUGACGAUUGCUCCUCCAUGCAGUUGUACCAAGGAACACACUCCUGUCCAGUCUUUUGGUAGAGAUAAGUACACUCUGUAACCACACAACCAAUAAUUGUCUUGUAUGAUUCCAGCGCCUCUUUCGUCCAGAACAUGUAGCAUAGAACAAUGUGCUGCGCAUCGCCUCCGUUCUGCUUCAGUGUAGACCUUUUAUGCAAUUACUGGUUGAGUCAGGUCUUCGAACCAUUGGUCCGUUUUAAGUUGAGAAGGAUAUUUUACUGGCACUUUUCUCAGGCAUCUCAGACACGCCUCUCUGGUAGUGCGGUUGGUUGUUGUCUCCUCAUAGAUAUGUGAACAGUUUCGUCUCUGGGUUCUUCCCAAGUGAUGACAUCCUGUAGUCCUUGUGUAGCAUAUCAGAUUCUCUGGGAAUUCCCGGACUGUUGCCACCUGGCCAAAUACUCUCUUGGUGAUCUUGAUAAGUGUCCAGGUGUCAUUCUUGAGGUAAUAUAGCUCUUCGGAAUUGUCAAAUGCUGCUGCUGCUACCAUAGUCAUUUCAAUCACUGUGUCAGAGUUCUGAUGAGUCCACCAGUUUCCUUCCAGUGGUAUUUUUUUGGGAAACUGGACACAAACAUUGCAGUUCCUUGGAUUGUAGAUUCUAUCCGUAUGGUUUGCCUCCACAACAUGUUCAUUGCAUAUAAGGAUGUGGAGAACCAGGGUAGUCCAUCCAUGUGUCUUAGGUAGUGCUGAAUCCAUCGUUGAUCUGUCGUUUGCUGCAAAGUGUCAAUCCAUUGCACAGGAUUGUAGUGUCAUUUAGGGUGUCAAAGUUUUUGUCGUCAGUCAUUGUAACGUCAAGCUCCAUGAUCACACAAUGUUUUAAUCUAGAUUGUAAUAGGUGUUGGUAUAUCACCAGAUAGAGCAGCCAAACUUGGUGUGCUGUAUUGUCAAAGGUCCUGUGGCUCUAUCAAGCACGGGUCUAAGGUUAGGUCUUGUUCGACCAACAACUGUGUUCAUCCAAGUGUGGUUAUAGAGAAUGGGUAUUGUUUAGCUAUUGUGGUAUAUGCUGCUAAGAUGCUGUUGUCCUGAAGCAGAAUGCUCUGCAGUGUCCGAUGUUGACUCUGUCCAAGGAGCUUGUUCCAAUGAAUAUGGAUCAAACGGAAAUCGUCUGGAAUCUGGAGUCUUUAACUCUCGUCGGCUGUGAUCAUCUAUUGUCAAAGGCACUACUUACUUCCACAUUUAAUAAAGUUCAAUUGUUGUGUUAUAAAGUUGUGUAAUAGGUCCAGAAGUACGAAUUGAUGUCCGUAUGCGAUAAUGUCAAAUAUCCAGUAAUAUCGACCAGCUCGUAGAUGAAAGGUGAGCCUGAUUCUCUGAAGAUAUUAGUUCUUCUGAGUUAUUUUCUGUUGUCAAGAUGGAUUUUCGAUGUGGUCGUGAAGGC